rnacentral:rRNA from 1 species
AACGAACGCUGGCGGCAGGCUUAACACAUGCAAGUCGAGCGCCCCGCAAGGGGAGCGGCAGACGGGUGAGUAACGCGUGGGAAUCUACCCAUCUCUACGGAAUAACGCAUGGAAAUGUGUGCUAAUACCGUAUACGUCCUUCGGGAGAAAGAUUUAUCGGAGAUGGAUGAGCCCGCGUUGGAUUAGCUAGUUGGUGGGGUAAAGGCCUACCAAGGCGACGAUCCAUAGCUGGUCUGAGAGGAUGAUCAGCCACACUGGGACUGAGACACGGCCCAGACUCCUACGGGAGGCAGCAGUGGGGAAUAUUGGACAAUGGGCGCAAGCCUGAUCCAGCCAUGCCGCGUGAGUGAUGAAGGCCCUAGGGUUGUAAAGCUCUUUCACCGGUGAAGAUAAUGACGGUAACCGGAGAAGAAGCCCCGGCUAACUUCGUGCCAGCAGCCGCAGUAAUAC